rnacentral:rRNA from 1 species
UACGUAGGUGGCGAGCGUUGUCCGGAUUUACUGGGCGUAAAGGGCGCGUAGGCGGGUCGACAAGUCCGGGGUGAAAGCCCCCAGCUUAACUGGGGAAGUGCCUUGGAUACUGUCGGUCUAGAGCGAGGUAGGGGCAUGUGGAACUUCGGGUGGAGCGGUGAAAUGCGUUGAUAUCCGAAGGAACGCCGGUGGCGAAAGCGACGUGCUGGACCUUUUCUGACGCUGAGGCGCGAAAGCCAGGGGAGCAAACGGG